rnacentral:rRNA from 1 species
GAUGAACGCUGGCGGCGUGCCUAAUACAUGCAAGUCGAGCGAACAGACGAGAGUGCUUGCACUCUCUGACGUUAGCGGCGGACGGGUGAGUAACACGUGGGUAACCUACCUAUAAGACUGGGAUAACACCGGGAAACCGGAGCUAAUACCGGAUAAUAUUUAGCUUCGCAUGAAGCAAUAGUGAAAGACGGUUCUGCUGUCACUUAUAGAUGGACCCGCGGUGGAUUAGCUAGUUGGUGAGGUAACGGCUCACCAAGGCAACGAUCCCUAGCCGGCCUGAGAGGAUGACCGGCCACACUGGAACUGAGACACGGCCCAGACUCCUACGGGAGGCAGCAGUAGGGAAUCUUCCGCAAUGGACGAAAGUCUGACGGAGUAAUGCCGCGUGAGUGAAGAAGGUUUUCGGAUCGUAAAACUCUGUUGUAAGGGAAGAACGAGUUCGUGAGUAACUCAACGUACCUUGACGGUACCUUACCAGAAAGCCCCGGCUAACUACGUG